rnacentral:rRNA from 1 species
AGUAGCUGGUUUGAGAGAACGAUCAGCCACACUGGGACUGAGACACGGCCCAGACUCCUCCGGGAGGCAGCAGUGAGGAAUUUUCCGCAAUGGGCGAAAGCCUGACGGAGCAAUACCGCGUGAGGGAUGAAGUAUCUUGGUAUGUAAACCUCUUUUCUCAAGAAAGAAGUUCUGACGGUACUUGAGGAAUAAGCAUCGGCUAACUCCGUGCCAGCAGCCGCGGUAAUACGGGGGAUGCAAGCGUUAUCCGGAAUCAUUGGGCGUAAAGCGCCUGUAGGUUGUUUAGUAAGUCCAUUGUUAAAGACCAGGGCUUAACCCUGGGAAAGCAAUAGAAACUACUAGACUUGAGUAUGGCAGGGGUAGAGGGAAUUUCUAGUGUAGCGGUGAAAUGCGUAGAUAUUAGAAAGAACACCGGUGGCGAAAGCGCUCUACUGGACCAUUACUGACACUGAGAGGCGAAAGCUAGGGUAGCAAAAGGGAUUAGAUACCCCUGUAGUCCUAGCCGUAAACGAUGGAUACUAGGUGUUGUGCAGUUCGUACAGUAUCUUAGCUAACGCGUUAAGUAUCCCGCCUGGGGAGUACGCUCGCAAGGGUGAAACUCAAAGGAAUUGACGGGGGCCCGCACAAGCGGUGGAGCAUGUGGUUUAAUUCGAUGAUACGCGAGGAACCUUACCAGGGCUUAAAUGUAGAGGGAAUAUUUUGGAAACAGAAUAGCCUUCGGGCCGUCUACAAGGUGCUGCAUGGCUGUCGUCAGCUCGUGUCGUGAGAUGUUGGGUUAAGUCCCGCAACGAGCGCAACCCUCGUUUUUAGUUGCCAAUUUAUUGGGUUUUCUAGAGAGACUGCCGGUGACAAACCGGAGGAAGGUGAGGAUGACGUCAAGUCAGCAUGCCCCUUAUGUCCUGGGCCACACACGUGCUACAAUGGCGGAGACAAAGAGUCGCAAACCUGCGAAGGCUAGCUAAUCUCAUAAACUUCGUCUAAGUUCGGAUUGUAGGCUGCAACUCGCCUACAUGAAGUUGGAAUCGCUAGUAAUCGCUGGUCAGCUAUACAGCGGUGAAUUCGUUCCCGGGCCUUGUACACACCGCCCGUCACACCAUGGGAGCUGGUCAUACCCAAUACCGUUAGUCUAACCAUUCGGAGGACAGCGCUUAAGGUAGGGCUAGUGACUGGGGUGAAGUCGUAACAAGGUAGCCGUACUGGAAGGUGCGGCUGGAUCACCUCCUU